AGCGAACGCUGGCGGCGUGCCUAACACAUGCAAGUCGAACGUGAAAGGGAGCAAUCCCCAGUAAAGUGGCGUACGGGUGAGUAACACGUAGGUAAUCUACCCCAGAAUCUGGAAUAACCGGCCGAAAGGCUGGCUAAUACUGGAUAGAGCGACGGAAUCCGUAAUUGGGUUUUUCGGGAAAGGGAGCCUGUAAAAAGGCCUUCGUUCUGGGAUGAGCCUGCGUCCCAUCAGCUAGUUGGUGAGGUAAAAGCUUACCAAGGCAAUGACGGGUAGCUGGUCUGAGAGGACGAUCAGCCACACUGGAACUGAAACACGGUCCAGGCUCCUACGGGAGGCAGCAGUGGGGAAUCUUGCGCAAUGGACGAAAGUCUGACGCAGCAACGCCGCGUGAGUGAAGAAGGCCUUCGGGUUGUAAAGCUCUGUCGAGUGGGACGAAAAUGCUUGGAGUUCACAGCUCCAGGAACUGACGGUACCACUAAAGGAAGCACCGGCUAACUCCGUG
rnacentral:rRNA from 1 species